UACGUAGGGUGCAAGCGUUGUCCGGAAUUAUUGGGCGUAAAGAGCUCGUAGGCGGUUUGUCGCGUCUGCUGUGAAAACUCGGGGCUUAACUCCGGGCCUGCAGUGGGUACGGGCAGACUAGAGUGCGGUAGGGGAGACUGGAAUUCCUGGUGUAGCGGUGAAAUGCGCAGAUAUCAGGAGGAACACCGAUUGCGAAGGCAGCUCGCUGGGACGUAACUGACGCUGAGACGCGAAAGCGUGGGGAGCAAACAGG
rnacentral:rRNA from 1 species